AGUGCCAGGUGCUCUACUAAUGCUUGUUAGGCUGUCUUCAUACAGGAAACAUACUCAUUUAUAUUUUAUAAAUAUGCUCAUUUACAUUUUAUAAAUAUAAAAUUAAGGAUGAUAAAAAUAUGAAUAGCGAUCAUGGAGUGCUUACUGAUACAAGGCUUUGUUUUCAGUAUUAUUUAAUUCUUAUAAUGACCCUUUGAAGUAGGUUCUUCCAAGCUGGUCUCUCGUUUUGUUUUUGUUUUUUAAGAUUUUAUUUAUUCAUUUGACAGAGAAAGAGAGAGAGAAAGAGAGAGAGAGAGAAGGAGAAGCAGGCUCUCUGCUCAAGAGAUGCGAGGCUCCAUCCCAGGGCCCUGGGAUCAUGAUCUGAGUGGAAGGCAGAUGCUUAACUGACUGAGGCCCCCUGCCAAGAUGGUCUCUGACUCCAGAGCUUUUGUACUAAGCACUCUGUGGUGAACACAAGUCUUUUUUUUUUUUUUUUUUUUUGUGAACACAAGUCUUGACUCACCUUCCCAUCUUCUUGAGGAGGAGAGCUAAUCAAGAAAGAACCAAGAAGGAUCUACCUGGUGGCAGAUUCUGGAAGAGCUGCAGCAGAGAGGCUGGGCUGCCUUUGGGCCAGCAGGUCCUGGAGGAGCUGACAAUAGCUACAUCCUUCACCACUACUAACUCUUGGAAAUGAAAGGGAGGGAAAUGUUCCACCACUACAAGUCACGAGGAUGCUGAUGACCCUGCUGCUCUAGUGCAAGCAAGGCCACUUCUUACCCUGUCUGAAAUUUGCUGCUGGUAAAACUUGAAAACAAACUGACCAAAUGUCUCCAAUCAGCCUCGGUGUCCAUCAAAAGAUGAAUGGAUAAAGAAGAUGUGGUCUAUGUAUACAAUGGAAUAUUCCUCAGCCAUUAGAAACGACAAAUACCCACCAUUUGCUUCGACGUGGA